rnacentral:rRNA from 1 species
GACGAACGCUGGCGGCGUGCUUAACACAUGCAAGUCGAACGGAAAGGCCCUGCUUUUGUGGGGUGCUCGAGUGGCUAACGGGUGAGUAACACGUGAGUAACCUGCCCUUGACUUUGGGAUAACUUCAGGAAACUGGGGCUAAUACCGGAUAGGAGCUCCUGCUGCAUGGUGGGGGUUGGAAAGUUUCGGCGGUUGGGGAUGGACUCGCGGCUUAUCAGCUUGUUGGUGGGGUAGUGGCUUACCAAGGCUUUGACGGGUAGCCGGCCUGAGAGGGUGACCGGCCACAUUGGGACUGAGAUACGGCCCAGACUCCUACGGGAGGCAGCAGUGGGGAAUAUUGCACAAUGGGCGGAAGCCUGAUGCAGAAACGACGCGUGCGGGAUGACGGCCUUCGGGUUGUAAACCGCUUUCGCCUGUGACGAAGCGUGAGUGAAGGUAAUGGGUAAAGAAGCACCGGCUAACUAAGUG